UACGUAGGGUGCAAGCGUUGUCCGGAAUUAUUGGGCGUAAAGGGCUCGUAGGCGGUCCAUCGCGUCGGGAGUGAAAAGCUGGGGCUUAACCCCAGUCCUGCUUCCGAUACGGGUGGACUAGAGGUAGGUAGGGGAGAUCGGAAUUCCUGGUGUAGCGGUGAAAUGCGCAGAUAUCAGGAGGAACACCGGUGGCGAAGGCGGAUCUCUGGGCCUUACCUGACGCUCAGGUGCGAAAGCUAGGGGAGCGAACAGG
rnacentral:rRNA from 1 species